GACAGAGGGUGCAAACGUUGUUCGGAAUUACUGGGCGUAAAGCGCGUGUAGGCAGCCCCGCAAGUCGGAUGUGAAAGCCCUGGGCUCAACCUAGGAAGUGCAUUCGAUACUGCGAGGCUUGAGUCCUGGAGAGGAAGGCGGAAUUCUCGGUGUAGAGGUGAAAUUCGUAGAUAUCGAGAGGAACACCGGUGGCGAAGGCGGCCUUCUGGACAGUGACUGACGCUGAGACGCGAAAGCGUGGGGAGCAAACAGG
rnacentral:rRNA from 1 species